AUUUCAGAAGAGAACAUCCAGAGCACGCGGGUCCAGGUAUAUCCUGGGAAAUGGCACGGCACUGCCAGAAGAUGCACCUGCUUUUGCAGAAAAUUGUAGAUGUGCCCUUUGUCAGCACAAGCACAGCAGAGGCCUGCCUUCCAGGGGUGACAGGCACCCUCAGCCCAGAGCUGAGGGAUUACGUGUUUCAACAGUGUCCUGGUUUCAACAAAUAGCCAGCAAGAACAAGAAGCAAGUUCACUCAAGCACCAGCUGCGAGCCACUCGAUGCACCUUCCCUGCAGCCCCUCUCUCCUGGCCCUGCAGCAGGGCUGCCAGGGCAGCUGCUGCUGCUCACUCAGGGAGUCCCAGACGGCAGAGACUCACAGCUCAUGGACAGAAUGGCUCCACAGAUGACACAUUCCCCCAUGAACAUUUUCGGGAGAUUGGGGUAAUAAGAGAGAUGUGCCAGGGGGCUGGAUGUCACUGUAUCACAGCUCGGUCGUGCUGGAAGACAGUGACUGGUUGGUAACUCAGCCCUUCCCUCCCUGCCAGAAUGACUCAAGACAAAGGCUCCCCCACACUUUAAAUGUCCCCGUUCAGAACUCCUGUUCCACACUAACCAGAUUUCUGUACAAAGGGAUGGUGCAGGGAGGAAAAGGGCAAUCUCAGCCUC
rnacentral:lncRNA from 1 species